rnacentral:rRNA from 1 species
CGAGCGGAGAUGAGGUGCUUGCACCUUAUCUUAGCGGCGGACGGGUGAGUAAUGCUUAGGAAUCUGCCUAUUAGUGGGGGACAACAUUCCGAAAGGAAUGCUAAUACCGCAUACGUCCUACGGGAGAAAGCAGGGGAUCUUCGGACCUUGCGCUAAUAGAUGAGCCUAAGUCGGAUUAGCUAGUUGGUGGGGUAAAGGCCUACCAAGGCGACGAUCUGUAGCGGGUCUGAGAGGAUGAUCCGCCACACUGGGACUGAGACACGGCCCAGACUCCUACGGGAGGCAGCAGUGGGGAAUAUUGGACAAUGGGGGGAACCCUGAUCCAGCCAUGCCGCGUGUGUGAAGAAGGCCUUAUGGUUGUAAAGCACUUUAAGCGAGGAGGAGGCUACUGAGACUAAUACUCUUGGAUAGUGGACGUUACUCGCAGAAUAAGCACCGGCUAACUCUGUGCCAGCAGCCGCGGUAAUACAGAGGGUGCGAGCGUUAAUCGGAUUUACUGGGCGUAAAGCGUGCGUAGGCGGCUUUUUAAGUCGGAUGUGAAAUCCCCGAGCUUAACUUGGGAAUUGCAUUCGAUACUGGGAAGCUAGAGUAUGGGAGAGGAUGGUAGAAU